CGCGGGGCGCGGAAAACCAGUUUGGCCGAAAGAGCUUUGAAUCACGGACCGAGGGGACCUGUCCAGCCGCCGAACGGAAAAGGGCGAGUGGUCGAAGCUGGUUCUACUUGGCGGGAGGUUAGCAGAGGAACAAAGGGCCAGUGGGUUUCUAGCUGAGAAAGCUUCACUGGACAGCAAAGCAGAGCUGGGCCUGAGACGCGUAGCUAAGGAUCUGUGCCGCUGAGUUCCGGAGCUGCGGAUCCUGAAAGGAUCAGGGAUCAGACCCCCCCCCCCAACUCCAUUCCCCUGUCUCGUGAAACACCUGUAAGACUCGUCCUGCCAAUGCAGCACAGAGCCACCUCCCAGCCCCUGUGAUAUGGAAGGAUCUGAACCACCAGAAUGACUGCCAAGAUGCCCCCAGGGAAAAUACCAGCAAUCUGUGCACUUCCAGUCCAACCUGAGCAACCAGUAAAGGCAGCUGCUUGGGCUGAAUGUGGGUGGAAACAGGGGUGAAAUGACAUAUAUUUGAAAACAUGUAUUCUGCCACUGUCUUCCUUGAGGUGUAGGGGGUUCCUGUUGAUUUCUUCACAAGAUUUUUGCAUUAUGUAUCUCUAACCCAGCCUGGGGUUCCUUGGAACCUUUACCUAGACAAGAAAAGGCUGGCAGUUGAGAUUUUGAAGGUUUCUUUUUUAUUCAUUUGAAAUAAGAAAUCCAUUUUGAAAAUA